AGCGAACAGAUAAGGAGCUUGCUCCUUUGAAGUUAGCGGCGGACGGGUGAGUAACACGUGGGUAACCUACCUAUAAGACUGGGAUAACUUCGGGAAACCGGAGCUAAUACCGGAUAACAUUUAGAACCGCAUGGUUCUAAAGUGAAAGAUGGUUUUGCUAUCACUUAUAGAUGGACCCGCGCCGUAUUAGCUAGUUGGUAAGGUAACGGCUUACCAAGGCGACGAUACGUAGCCGACCUGAGAGGGUGAUCGGCCACACUGGAACUGAGACACGGUCCAGACUCCUACGGGAGGCAGCAGUAGGGAAUCUUCCGCAAUGGGCGAAAGCCUGACGGAGCAACGCCGCGUGAGUGAUGAAGGGUUUCGGCUCGUAAAACUCUGUUAUUAGGGAAGAACAAAUGUGUAAGUAACUGUGCACAUCUUGACGGUACCUAAUCAGAAAGCCACGGCUAACUACGUGCCAGCAGCCGCGGUAAUACGUAGGUGGCAAGCGUUAUCCGGAAUUAUUGGGCGUAAAGCGCGCGUAGGCGGUUUCUUAAGUCUGAUGUGAAAGCCCACGGCUCAACCGUGGAGGGUCAUUGGAAACUGGGAAACUUGAGUGCAGAAGAGGAAAGUGGAAUUCCAUGUGUAGCGGUGAAAUGCGCAGAGAUAUGGAGGAACACCAGUGGCGAAGGCGACUUUCUGGUCUGUAACUGACGCUGAUGUGCGAAAGCGUGGGGAUCAAACAGGAUUAGAUACCCUGGUAGUCCACGCCGUAAACGAUGAGUGCUAAGUGUUAGGGGGUUUCCGCCCCUUAGUGCUGCAGCUAACGCAUUAAGCACUCCGCCUGGGGAGUACGACCGCAAGGUUGAAACUCAAAGGAAUUGACGGGGACCCGCACAAGCGGUGGAGCAUGU
rnacentral:rRNA from 1 species